CUCCAAGCAGUUGGUCACCAUUUGAUCAGUGGACAAAGAAGGCAAGAUGACUCAAAUGAUAAAACAGAAACUCAAGUAAGGCUCAGCUGAAGAUGUCACUGCUGUGGACUUCUUUUCCCAGCCCAGGAAAAUACAGUUCUUGGGGCCAUGGAUCUUUUCCCA